rnacentral:rRNA from 1 species
UACGUAGGGGGCGAGCGUUGUCCGGAUUUAUUGGGCGUAAAGCGCGCGUAGGCGGCCCGUUAAGUCGGAUGUGAAAACCCGGGGCUCAACCCCGGGCCUGCAUUCGAUACUGGCGGGCUCGAGGCAGGCAGGGGAGAGUGGAAUUCCUGGUGUAGCGGUGAAAUGCGCAGAUAUCAGGAGGAACACCGGUGGCGAAGGCGGCUCUCUGGGCCUGUCCUGACGCUCAGGCGCGAAAGCUAGGGGAGCAAACAGG